rnacentral:rRNA from 1 species
UACGGAGGGGGCUAGCGUUGUUCGGAAUUACUGGGCGUAAAGCGCACGUAGGCGGCUUUGCAAGUCAGAGGUGAAAGCCCGGGGCUCAACCCCGGAAUUGCCUUUGAGACUGCAUCGCUAGAAUUGUGGAGAGGUAAGUGGAAUUCCGAGUGUAGAGGUGAAAUUCGUAGAUAUUCGGAAGGACACCAGUGGCGAAGGCGACUUGCUGGACACAUAUUGACGCUGAGGUGCGAAAGCGUGGGGAGCAAACAGG